rnacentral:sRNA from 1 species
AUAUAGAGGUGUGCUCAGGGGCUCUGGAGCAGACCACUGGGAGUCUUCAAAAUGACUAAAGAGACUCAGAAGCCACAAGGCUCUAGAGCACUUAUGGAACAGCCGACCUCAGGUAACCAGGAGGAAAAGAUGAAGACUUCCUGUCAACUGAGGUCCACAAAAGUGUCAAGGAUGGCCUGUGAUGUCUGAGAGUUUUUGUCAGGCCUGGGAGUACAUUAGAGCCGAAUGAGCCAAAGGAUGCCACCAAAUCUGAUGUAUCCUCACUUUUGGAUCUUUGAAGUUACAAAAUCUUGGCAUUUGCUAGUGACACGGACCGACCUGCAGAGCAGCAAGCAGGGUUGGAAGCACUCGCCAUGAACAGCUGUAUGACAUGUGCCUGCGUUCUGCAUUCUCCCAUCACCUUGGACAGCUUCAGAGUACCAGUCACAUUGGCCUGAUCCAUGUGGGGACAGAAAACAAGGACCUUUGGGCUCAGCUGACUUGGAGAACCUCUCUCUCGGUGUGCACCUAUCUAGGUCAUUCCUUGUCAAUGUUGUGCCCCUCUUGCUAGCCUACCACCCUUUAUGGACAACAACAUUCUGAGUGAGGCCUUCUGUUCUUCCAAAAAAAAAAGGUCUCACGAAUUCCGCU